GACGAACGCUGGCGGCAUGCUUUACACAUGCAAGUCGAACGGCAGCGCGGGGGCAACCCUGGCGGCGAGUGGCGAACGGGUGAGUAAUGUAUCGGAACGUAUCCUGUAAUGGGGGAUAACCAGUCGAAAGAUUGGGUAAUACCGCAUACGCACGAGAGUGGAAAGUAGGGGAUCGCAAGACCUUACGUUAUAGGAGCGGCCGAUAUCUGAUUAGCUAGUUGGUGGGGUAAAGGCCUACCAAGGCGACGAUCAGUAGCUGGUCUGAGAGGACGACCAGCCACACUGGGACUGAGACACGGUCCAGACUCCUACGGGAGGCAGCAGUGGGGAAUUUUGGACAAUGGGCGCAAGCCUGAUCCAGCAAUGCCGCGUGCAGGAUGAAGGCCUUCGGGUUGUAAACUGCUUUGUACGGAACGAAAAGGACGUCUGGUUAAUACCUGGGGCGUCAUGACGGUACCGUAAGAAUAAGCACCGGCUAACUACGUGCCAGCAGCGCGGUAACUGAGU
rnacentral:rRNA from 1 species